rnacentral:rRNA from 1 species
GACGAACGCUGGCGGCGUGCUUAACACAUGCAAGUCGAACGGAAAGGCCCUGCUUUUGUGGGGUGCUCGAGUGGCGAACGGGUGAGUAACACGUGAGUAACCUGCCCUUGACUUUGGGAUAACUUCAGGAAACUGGGGCUAAUACCGGAUAGGAGCUCCUGCUGCAUGGUGGGGGUUGGAAAGUUUCGGCGGUUGGGGAUGGACUCGCGGCUUAUCAGCUUGUUGGUGGGGUAGUGGCUUACCAAGGCUUUGACGGGUAGCCGGCCUGAGAGGGUGACCGGGCACAUGGGGACUGCGAGAGGGCCCAGACUGCAACGGGAGGCAGCAGUGGGGAAUAUUGCACAAUGGGCGGAAGCCUGAUGCAGCGGCGCCGCGUGCGGGAUGACGGCCUUCGGGUUGUAAACCGCUUUCGCCUGUGACGAAGCGUGAGUGACGGUAAUGGAUAAAGAAGCACCGGCUAACUACGUG